rnacentral:lncRNA from 1 species
UUUUUUUGUCUUUUUGCUAUUUCUUUGGGCCGCUCCCGCAGCAUAUGGAGGUUCCCAGGCUAGGGGUCUAAUCGGAGCUGUAGCCACCAGCCUACGCCAGAGCCACAGCAACGCGGGAUCCGAGCCACGUCUGCAACCUACACCACAGCUCACGGCAACGCUGGAUCGUUAACCCACUGAGCAAGGCCAGGGAUCGAACCCGCAACCUCAUGGUUCCUAGUCGGAUUCGUUAACCACUGCGCCACGACGGGAACUCCAAUUUCACUUAUUUCUUAAAGCAUCUGUCCCCAACAAGAUAAAUAUCCUCCUAUACAGACAAGGAAAUAAAACUCAGAGAAGUUAUUUUUACACGUUCAUACAGCUAGGAAGGAAUAGAAGGGGAGUUACCAUUUCCAUGUUUUUUCCACUCCACCACAUUGCUGACAUUAAAGCAGGGGACAGACCAUGAACUUACAUCCUUCCUUACUCUGGGUUUUCUUUAAUAUUCCUAAAAUCUGUAAUCUUGGGAAUGAAGGCUUUCAUUGUCUUUAUCCUCUGGGUGACUCAGCCUUUCAGCUAGAGUGUAGGUUUAAUGUUAUCUGAGACCCUAUUUGAAUGAACUUCAAAGGAAAAGAAGAGAUGGAGACAUGUUAUCGUCUGGCCCCCAGCCACAUUCUGGUUCCUGUUACUAAGGAUUGAUCCUGACUGAACUAAUUAAAGUUUAGUUCCUUUGCCUCCGGGCCAUCAGAACAGACAAAAACCAUUAACACUGGCCCCAGAAAUAUAAACUCCCUCUUUAGAUAAUAGUGCUAAACAGCCAAUAACUGCAGUGCUGCAGUCCUUGCUAAGGAAGGAAAAACAAACUAGAUAACCUUUCAGGAUCUUUCCAGACUUAAGAUUCUGGGAUCUAAAAGUGUUUUGACUUGAUGUCUGGUGUUUCAACAUAGCCCUGACUAGAUGAAAGAAAGAAUAAGAAGAGGCAACAGUUAAAUACAGAAUGUAAUUCAUUAAAGAAGCUGUGACAGUAAGGGCAGGAGAAACAGAGGAAGGGAUACAAUUUUGUGAGGUUCCCCCACAGCUAAAGGCUAUCAUUAGGAACAAAAUUAACAGAAAGACUCACCUCUUUAACAAGGUUUUCCUGAUAAAAUAGAAAGGCUUUCUUCCUCUCCCAACCCCACUCCCACUCUACCCCAGAGGAAUUCCUCUUCCUUUUGAAACAUACACUCUUUUUCCCAUUGUAGCCUGAAAAUCACUGCUAUCAUCCUUCCUUAUUCCUUUGAAGCAGAAAAAGCAUUGGGCCAACCUGGAAGCAGGUCUAUCUCUCCUUCCUACACAAUUAUUUGUGCUUGCUACACUUUAUUUAUUUUAAGAAAUUUUUUUGUGUCUUUUUGUCUUUUAGGGCCGCACCCAGAGCAUAUGGAGGUUUCAAUAUGACAGAAGGUAAAAAUUGUGGGGUAGUGGCUAUUUAUUGCUCAAAUGUUUGGAUUAUUGGUCUCCUUAAAUAUAUAAAAAUAUGUGAGGUCAACUUUGAGUUUAAUGAGCAAUCGUCUUAAAAGUCUAAAUAAAUAAAGAAAGAAUAGUUUCAACAAAUACGUCAAAGUUGACUCUGGCUUAAUGCUUCCCUAAACAUUGAGAAAGUCUAUUUUAUAAAGCUCCCCUUUGGAUGAAGUAACUGUUGUUUUCUUUUAAGUCAGACUCCCACUGAGUAGGUUGCUUCUGCCACAGCCAUGAUUUCAACCCAGGACUGAAUUCUUAAUGAUCUGCACUAAUGGACUCCCAAACUUUUAAAGUAAAUUAGGAAUUUUUUUCCUUUAAUUGCAUCUCUCGCUAGUCAGUGAAACCAGGUGUAUCUCACUUUAUUUAAACCAUGUAACAACUGGAAAGGAUGUUAAAGAACAACUAACCCAACUUUCAUUCACUAAAUAAGAAAAUAAAAUCCCAGGUAAAUGACAUACCUUGCUGAUAAAGACAAAAUUGUUUGCUCCUUACUCCUUAACCAGUACCCUUUCCACUGUGAUGAAUGACAAGGUUAAGCAGAUUUUUGUAACUGAAUUCCAUUUCCAGUGCAAUAGAGAAGUUGCAAUUUACCUCUUCAGCAGAGCUUUACACACACACACCAGAUUUGUUUUAUAAUGCUUAUAUGUUGCCCUAAUUUAUUUUAUGGAUUUACAAAUACAUUUAUCUAAGCAUUGUGGCAUAUCCAUGUUUCAUUUGUAGCUUAAAGAGAAGAAAUGAAGAAGUGAGGAGCCUGUGGGGAUGAGGGAGGUGAGAGUCAAAGAGUAGAACCAGGGAAGGCAAGUUUGGAAGGAUUUAUGCAGGUGUCAUUUUUCCCUUAGAACUUACAAUCUUAGGUUCUUUAUAUGAAUGUGUGCUGACAGCUCCCCAGCUCCACAGUUCCAUAGUAUUCUACAUGAACAUUAGUUAUAUCCUGGGGCAGAAGAAUUUAAAGAUUUGUAAAGUGAUUCAGCAUCAAUGUUGUUAAUGAAUCAGAUAUAAAACAGCAAUAGGAAUCAAUAAAAGGAAUGUUCCAUCCAUAUGUCUCAGUAAACAUUAUGCAUAUUUACAAGAACAAACAGGACAAUAUUAGUAACGAUACCAAACUUUCAACAAACAAUUAUUGAUUCUCCACUAAAUGCCAACAGUGGGUCAUAGGAUCACAAAAUUAUUGGCAGACCAGUAUAAUCAUUCUAGAGUCAAAUGUUCACCAAUUAAUAAGGUAAGAUUUAUCCAUUAUAGUGCAGUACAAACAUGUCCGACAAUAAGUGGGUUAAAGGCAAGCAUUAAGAUUGUUGUAAAAUUCGAAUUUGCAAUUCUCAGUGUUGCAAAAAUGGAAAAGGACAGAAUUAUACAUGUUCAAGGAAAUGUCUUUCAUCUCCCUGUGUUCUGCCUACUUCUCAGGCUUUCUAUGGAGAUAGGGGUAGGCUGAUAGCAAUAAAUGUUACCCAGCAUUGAAAUCUGUCUUCCUCCCCAAGGUUGGCCCAACAGUCAUUAUCAACUGCCUAGUAACAAUCUCACUGCUGUUACCUAAGUCCUACUACUUUCUUUUACAUACAACUUUCAAAAAUAAUCUGUGUUUUUGACAGCAGGAAGUGAGAAUAGGUCUAAUUUGCAGUUGCUAGCCAGCAUUGCUAGAGAAAAAUUCCUUUGCUAUAUUAUCUCUUUAAGAAUCAUUUUGAGAUUAUUUCUAGAGUCAAAGUCAUCAAAAAGAAAACCUGAGCCUGUAAUAGAAAGGAGAACAGAUCCAUUGAACAACAAAACCUUCUUAAGCAACUACUGCCAGUGCCUUUAGAGGUGAAGUUAGGUGUACAAGGAUCACCUUUAUUUCCUUUAAAUAGCAUUGGAGCAAACAAAAUUUAAUCAAAUCCAUUAUUAAGAAAUAGGAAGGAGAGAAACAUCCCGACUUCUCUGCAUCAGGUAGGAAUGUUAGGUUAAAUUUUCUAACAAGUCAGAUGUCUGUUCUCCUUCUGUUUAUUUAGUCUGGAUGCUUAGGAUUCCCUCCAGAAUAUUGUCUAGUAUAAGGACAACCACAGAGCCUCAAAGAUGUUCUCUAAAAAACAAUGUUAGAUAAUAAAUAAUCUCUAUGUCCCAAGGGCUGUCUUCUAUCCAACAAUCCAGCUACUUCUAUCUGAUGAAAUCAAGAUACAAAGAACAAUGAAAAAAUCCUCUCUGCCCCAUUGAAAACCUGAGUCUUCCUCUCCUAGUCCAUGUACGUAAUAAAGUUAAUAUUUAUAUAGUUCUAAUAUGUGCCAGACAGUGUUCUGAGUGUUUCAUAUACAGAAAUUCACUCAAUCCCCAUUACCAGUUAACAAGGUAGAUACUUAGCAGAUUCAUUUUACUGUUAAGGAAACAGAUACAGAGAGUUUAAAUAAAUUGCCCAAUACCACACAAAUAGUAAGUAGUGGAGCCAAAUUCAAACCCAGCCAGUUUGAUGAUGGAUUCCACACUCUUAACCAUACACUUUUGACUGUGAAAGAGCACCUCUAAAAUAGGCAUCUCCUCAGAGGAAAUGAUGUUCUGGAUAUUAAAUGAUGUAUGAUCUGUCUCAUACUGUAUCAGUCUCCUAGCACAGAUCUUUCAAAACCUCUUUGUCACUAACAGAGAGGAGGUAAUUCCCAGUUUUGAAUCAAGCACCUGUUUCACCUGUUUUGACACACACUACAAUGGCCCUCUAUUGCCUCUGGGUAUCCUCCCCUGGGUGGAGAUUUUCCUUAUCUCCAUCCCUUAAAACAAAAUAACUCAUUCUCACCUUUCCAGGCAUGAGUGGGGCAAGGCUGCAAGUCCUUUGCACAUUUUGGCAAGUGGCUUAGUCCCUCAGGUUUGAGCACAAGUCCUUAUCAGCAGAGCAAGUCUUUGAAAACUUCAAAAUGGUCU